CUCCAUCUGGCAGCACUGGGUCAGUAGUGCAUAGCAAUAGCGGAUCAAGACUGCCUGGCCUAGGCACAAGUAUUUGAAGCGUAGUAUCAUCUUGACAUCCGUCUGGGCUGCAACCUGCACACCUCGAUCUCGGCUUUCACAACAUGGAUCCAUCCAGGGAAAUUCCAAGUGAAUCAUUUGAGCAGGCUGAGGGCUCAAAACUAGCCAGAAAAAUGAAGGAGUCUCCUUUUAUGGUGGCAGGUUUAGCUGGUCUGGUUGGCGUGGUUGGCUACAACCUGUACCACUUGCGGCAUAAGCCCAAGGACAUGAAGCUGUCGGUGUACCUGAUCCACAUGCGGGUGGGAGCUCAGGGCUUUGUCGUCAGUUGUUUGACGCUAGGCGUUUGCUACCAAAUGUACCAAGAACACAUGAAGCCGAAAAUCGCCCAAUGGAGGGAAGCCAGCAAGAGCAAAUGAACAUUCGCUUGUGUGCCAUUCUUCAAUAGAGCUUUAUGUCUGUUACGCAUCUAACUACUCGUAGAUUCUGUCAUGCUUUGUGAUUGUUGAAAUUGAGGCAACCUUAAUGUUGCUUAUUUGUAUUGUGCUUGUUUGCUGAUGAUAUUAAACCAGGUUACGCAGGUUACGUUACGCGAUAUUAAACCAGGUUAAACCAGCUUACGUACGCUGACGAUUGCCAACCGCAAUAUGUCAUGAUUACAUUAAACUGCAUUUUGAGGUACCUCACUGGCUAUAUGUAUUUGCCAUUUUCACCACACGGGUGUCGGGUAGGUUCAUGAUUUUACAAAUUAUCAAAUUUCAUGCCAUUCUGAUUGCGGGCCAUGGCACGGUUUUACGUGGAUUUAUAUUUAUUCAGUGCUUAGUGCAUGCUUCGUUGGCUUUUUGUUUCGUAACCGCAGGUUAUUUGAAAAUCAGUCAAACAGUUUUCGUUAAAAUUGUGUGUUUCUAUUGCAAAACAACCGGAGCAGUCCGUCACCGGGCUAUACUUUCCUCGUUGUGCAAUCCGAACUACAAACGCUUCUGUGCUACUGUGACCUCAGUGAUGCACCGGUCGCUCCAGGGAUUUAUUUUACUCUGAAAUGGCCGAUACAUGUCCAAAUGAUGAGACCAACGACGCUAUGAAAGCUCUGGUCCACGACUGAUCCAUACGUAAUACAUGUCCAACAUGA